rnacentral:rRNA from 1 species
ACCUACGGGGCGCAGCAGUAGGGAAUCUUCCACAAUGGGCGAAAGCCUGAUGGAGCAACGCCUGGGUGAAGAAGGUCUUCGGAUCGUAAAACCCUGUUGUUAGAGAAGAAAGUGCGUGAGAGUAACUGUUCACGUUUCGACGGUAUCUAACCAGAAAGCCACGGCUAACUACGUGCCAGCAGCCGCGGUAAUACGUAGGUGGCAAGCGUUAUCCGGAUUUAUUGGGCGUAAAGGGAACGCAGGCGGUCUUUUAAGUCUGAUGUGAAAGCCUUCGGCUUAACCGGAGUAGUGCAUUGGAAACUGGG